ensembl:lncRNA
AUGAAUACCUAUGCAUGCUUCAUAUUUCUGCUGGCCAUUGGUCUUUCUGCUCAGAAGUCAGAGUUCGAGAUAGACUUCGAAAAUAUGGUGAAAACAGUAAAACUGGAGGACAAUAAGACACUUUUGCACUGCACAGAAAAAUGCGACGAGGUAAAGGAAGCAUGCAAAUGUCGCAGGUUCACUUGUUCGGUGGAAACCCCUUUUAUUGAUUGCAUUAAAAAUGGCCUUGGCGAUCUCAAAUUAAUGCAAACUGAAAAUAUCAUCGCAAGACUAAUGGAUCUGAAUAUAACGUCUGAAAAGAAAAGAAUGCUGACACACCAAAAGCUUUCACACAAGAUGUCUCCUAAAAGCUUCCUUGACUACAUUUUGGAGCUCUAUCAAGAAACAAAUGCUAAAAAUUCUGGUUGAUAUUUCCAUUUAUCGGUUUAAUUUAUAACAUAUUUAUAUAUUUAUUCAUUUAUUUAUUCUUGUUGGUAUGAAUGUUUCUAACUGUCAAAUGUGAAUUUUUCUAACUGUCAAAUGUAGAGUUUACACAAUAAAUCAAACUUCAAAUCUACUGUAUGUAGCCUA